rnacentral:rRNA from 1 species
GACGAACGCUGGCGGCGUGCUUAACACAUGCAAGUCGAACGGUGAAGCUCCAGCUUGCUGGAGUGGAUCAGUGGCGAACGGGUGAGUAACACGAGAGCAACCUGCCCCUGACUCUGGAAUAAGCGCUGGAAACGGCGACUAAUACUGGAUCCGCGAAGGGCAUGCAUGGGCACUUUCUGGAAAGUUUUUCGGUUGGGGAUGGGCUCGCGGCCUAUCAGCGUGUUGGUGAGGUAAUGGCUCACCAAGGCGACGACGGGUAGCCGGCCUGAGAGGGCGACCGGCCACACUGGGACUGAGACACGGCCCAGACUCCUACGGGAGGCAGCAGUGGGGAAUAUUGCACAAUGGGCGAAAGCCUGAUGCAGCGACGCCGCGUGAGGGAUGACGGCCUUCGGGUUGUAAACCUCUUUCAGCAGGGAAGAAGCGAAAGUGACGGUACCUGCAGAAGAAGCACCGGCUAACUACGUG